rnacentral:miRNA from 10 species
GUUUAAUAAACCGUGUUCCAACGGUUUAUUAGGUAUCUAAAUUGCUGUCUAAUCAAUACUUCAUUCACUGCCUCUUCCGUGGUCAUUACAAUAUUAUGAAUAGGCUGUGUGGAGAAAG